rnacentral:rRNA from 1 species
AUACGUAGGUGACAAGCGUUAUCCGGAUUUACUGGGUGUAAAGGGCGUGUAGGAGGUUUAGCAAGUCAGAAGUGAACUUCCCGGGCUUAACUUGGGCGCUGCUUCUGAAGCUGCCUUUCUUGAGUGCGGGAGAGGAUAGUGGAAUUCCUAGUGUAGCGGUAAAAUGCGCAGAUAUUAGGAGGAACACCGGUGGCGAAGGCGGCUAUCUGGACAGUAACUGACGCUGAGGCGCGAAAGCACGGGGAGCAAACAGGAUUAGAUACCCUUGUAGUCCACGCUGUAAACGAUGUAUGCUUGGUGUUAUGCGUUUAUGCGCGUAGUGCCGUAGGAAAUGUGGUAAGCAUACCACCUGGGGAGUACGAAUGCAAGUUUGAAACUCAAAGGAAUUGGCGGGG